GAUGAACGCUAGCUACAGGCUUAACACAUGCAAGUCGAGGGGAAACGACAUCGAAAGCUUGCUUUUGGUGGGCGUCGACCGGCGCACGGGUGAGUAACGCGUAUCCAACCUGCCCACCACUUGGGGAUAACCUUGCGAAAGUAAGACUAAUACCCAAUGACGUCUCUAGAAGACAUCUGAAAGAGAUUAAAGAUUUAUCGGUGAUGGAUGGGGAUGCGUCUGAUUAGUUAGUCGGCGGGGUAACGGCCCACCGAGACGACGAUCAGUAGGGGUUCUGAGAGGAAAGUCCCCCACAUUGGAACUGAGACACGGUCCAAACUCCUACGGGAGGCAGCAGUGAGGAAUAUUGGUCAAUGGGCGGAAGCCUGAACCAGCCAAGUAGCGUGCAGGACGACGGCCCUAUGGGUUGUAAACUGCUUUUAUGCGGGGAUAAAGUGGGCCACGCGUGGCCUUUUGCAGGUACCGCAUGAAUAAGGACCGGCUAAUUCCGUG
rnacentral:rRNA from 1 species